rnacentral:rRNA from 1 species
UACAGAGGGUGCGAGCGUUAAUCGGAAUUACUGGGCGUAAAGCGCACGUAGUCGGCCUUGCAAGUCGGGUGUGAAAUCCCCGGGCUCAACCUGGGAACUGCAUCCGAGACUGCAUUGCUAGAGUAUGGGAGAGGGAAGCGGAAUUUCUGGUGUAGCAGUGAAAUGCGUAGAUAUCAGAAGGAACAUCAGUGGCGAAGGCGGCUUCCUGGACCAAUACUGACGAUCAGGUGCGAAAGCGUGGGGAGCAAACAGG